rnacentral:lncRNA from 1 species
AUGCGUGGGGGGCUCCGCCAGCCCCAUUCACCCACCAGCCCUCCGCGCUGGGACAUGGGGCCCUGCUUCCUGCAGCCCCCCUGGUGCUCAGCCCCUUUGCAGGCUGAGCGGUUUCCCCCCUGCAGCGCACCCCCACCCAUCUCCUUUGCAGAGAAAAAAGGAGAAUGCCAACGUGCAAGUGGCCUGCCUGCCUGCCCCUGUGGUCCCCUGCCAUUUGGGGUAGGGCAGCAGGGCACAGCAUACCAUUGCUCCUGCACUCACAUCUCCCACUGUGGGCCCCCGGAAAGCACCAGGGGGUUCUCAGCCAUGCUUCCCCAGCCCGCGUGCUCCAGCAGCCAGGAACCCCGCGCCCUUGGGGCUCUGCCAAGCACAGCAAGCACCCGCCCGCCCCAACGGUCGCGCAGCGGCAGCAGCCCGCCUACAGAGGGGCUCAAAGCGGCCCCGUGUCCCUCAAGUGCCACCAGCAGCCAGGGGCUGGCACCCACUAACCUCUCCAGAGCUGCUUUGGGAAGCCCCCCAGGCCCCUUUCCCCCCCCAUUUUGGGGCUGUGCCACCCACCUGACCAGGCGAUGCUCCAGCACAGGGGUCACUACAGCUGCCCAGCGCAGCCAACCCCGCCACACGCUGCCCAGCUUAGGGGACAAGGGUACCCACCGGUGGGCACAACACAGCCCUGCUUCCUCCCACCCAGCGAGCUGCCGUCUCCUGCGGCUGCUCACCUGCUUGCUCAACUUCCUGGGUACAGCCCACAACAUGGCAUCGGCUGCGGGCGGCGAGCUGGGAACAGGGCAGUGCAGGGCACCGCUGUCCCCGCCGGCCAAGGAUGGGGAAAGCAGGGCCCCCCCGCUGCGGCCAUGCUCUGUGCUCAGGGGCAAUGAAGCAUGGAGGGAAGGUGCUCAGGGGCAAGCAGUGCUGCAGCCUCCAAUGUGGGAAAUCACCAUCAGCUUCCCCAAGGGCCUGCGUCACCCAGUCCUGAUGGAGAGUGGACACGAGGACCUGACUCACCCGGCUGCUGGUGCUUUCCAGUGGCGUGGGGGGCAUCUAGCAGUGCUGUGCACUGCCGGAGCGCAGCACCCUGCCAGCAGCCACCCUGUACACUGUGCCGUGCAUGGGGAGGCUUCCCUAGAGAGAAUCUGCUGGGCACAGAGAUGGGGGGGCAGAGCCCCCCAGCAGCCAGCAGUGCUGGCUGGACUCCUAGGACAGCCUGGCCGGGCACAACCUGCUGCUCUGCAUUCCUAUGGAUAG